rnacentral:rRNA from 2 species
UUAAUUUGAGAGUUUGAUCCUGGCUCAGGACGAACGCUGGCGGCGUGCCUAAUACAUGCAAGUCGAACGAACUCUGGUAUUGAUUGGUGCUUGCAUCAUGAUUUACAUUUGAGUGAGUGGCGAACUGGUGAGUAACACGUGGGAAACCUGCCCAGAAGCGGGGGAUAACACCUGGAAACAGAUGCUAAUACCGCAUAACAACUUGGACCGCAUGGUCUGAGCUUGAAAGAUGGCUUCGGCUAUCACUUUUGGAUGGUCCCGCGGCGUAUUAGCUAGAUGGUGGGGUAACGGCUCACCAUGGCAAUGAUACGUAGCCGACCUGAGAGGGUAAUCGGCCACAUUGGGACUGAGACACGGCCCAAACUCCUACGGGAGGCAGCAGUAGGGAAUCUUCCACAAUGGACGAAAGUCUGAUGGAGCAACGCCGCGUGAGUGAAGAAGGGUUUCGGCUCGUAAAACUCUGUUGUUAAAGAAGAACAUAUCUGAGAGUAACUGUUCAGGUAUUGACGGUAUUUAACCAGAAAGCCACGGCUAACUACGUGCCAGCAGCCGCGGUAAUACGUAGGUGGCAAGCGUUGUCCGGAUUUAUUGGGCGUAAAGCGAGCGCAGGCGGUUUUUUAAGUCUGAUGUGAAAGCCUUCGGCUCAACCGAAGAAGUGCAUCGGAAACUGGGAAACUUGAGUGCAGAAGAGGACAGUGGAACUCCAUGUGUAGCGGUGAAAUGCGUAGAUAUAUGGAAGAACACCAGUGGCGAAGGCGGCUGUCUGGUCUGUAACUGACGCUGAGGCUCGAAAGUAUGGGUAGCAAACAGGAUUAGAUACCCUGGUAGUCCAUACCGUAAACGAUGAAUGCUAAGUGUUGGAGGGUUUCCGCCCUUCAGUGCUGCAGCUAACGCAUUAAGCAUUCCGCCUGGGGAGUACGGCCGCAAGGCUGAAACUCAAAGGAAUUGACGGGGGCCCGCACAAGCGGUGGAGCAUGUGGUUUAAUUCGAAGCUACGCGAAGAACCUUACCAGGUCUUGACAUACUAUGCAAAUCUAAGAGAUUAGACGUUCCCUUCGGGGACAUGGAUACAGGUGGUGCAUGGUUGUCGUCAGCUCGUGUCGUGAGAUGUUGGGUUAAGUCCCGCAACGAGCGCAACCCUUAUUAUCAGUUGCCAGCAUUAAGUUGGGCACUCUGGUGAGACUGCCGGUGACAAACCGGAGGAAGGUGGGGAUGACGUCAAAUCAUCAUGCCCCUUAUGACCUGGGCUACACACGUGCUACAAUGGAUGGUACAACGAGUUGCGAACUCGCGAGAGUAAGCUAAUCUCUUAAAGCCAUUCUCAGUUCGGAUUGUAGGCUGCAACUCGCCUACAUGAAGUCGGAAUCGCUAGUAAUCGCGGAUCAGCAUGCCGCGGUGAAUACGUUCCCGGGCCUUGUACACACCGCCCGUCACACCAUGAGAGUUUGUAACACCCAAAGUCGGUGGGGUAACCUUUUAGGAACCAGCCGCCUAAGGUGGGACAGAUGAUUAGGGUGAAGUCGUAACAAGGUAGCCGUAGGAGAACCUGCGGCUGGAUCACCUCCUUUCUAAGGAA